AGGACGAACGCUGGCGGCGUGCUUAACACAUGCAAGUCGAGCGGAGAGGCCCUUCGGGGUACUCGAGCGGCGAACGGGUGAGUAACACGUGAGUAAUCUGCCCCUAGCUCUGGGAUAGCUCCGGGAAAACCGGGAUUAAUACCGGAUACGACCACCUUAGACAUCUUUUGUGGUGGAAAGAAUUUCGGCUAGGGAUGAGCUCGCGGCCUAUCAGCUUGUUGGUGGGGUAACGGCCUACCAAGGCGACGACGGGUAGCCGGCCUGAGAGGACGACCAGUCACACUGGAACUGAGACACGGUCCAGACACCUACGGGUGGCAGCAGUCGAGAAUUUUUCUCAAUGGGGGAAACCCUGAAGGAGCGACGCCGCGUGGAGGAUGAAGGCUUUCGGGUUGUAAACUCCUGUCAUUUAAGAACAAGUGUAGCCAAGUAACUACUGGCUACUUGAUAGUAUCAGAAGAGGAAGAGACGGCUAACUCUGUGCCAGCAGCCGC
rnacentral:rRNA from 1 species